AUUUCUCUCAUCUCCAGUUCUCUCUCUAGAUAUCACAACUCUCUUCUCUCUACUCUUUUCCCGGCAACUAUACCGGUCCCAUGGUGGGGAUUCAAGAGAGAGAAAUAGAGAGCAAGUUGGGUUAGGGCCGCCGUUGCCGGCGGCUCUGGCCUUCGAUGGCGGCGGUGGAAUUACCCCGUCGUUGCCGGUGGCCGGUCGUAUAUGGUGGCGGCAGAAGGUGAUGAUGAUGAGCAUCAGGUAAGAGCAAGUUGGGUUAGGUUCGCCGUUGCCGGCAGCUCUGGCCUUCUAUGGCGGCGGCGGAAUUACCCCGUCGUUGCCGAUGGCCGAUCGUAUAUGGUGGCGACGGAAGGUGAUGAUGAUGAGUUGGACCUCAUCUGAGCCUCGAUGGAUGCGAUGGUAUUGUUUUCGAACAACCGCCUUGGGUUUUAAGGCCACCAACCAUACCUGAUUCUGGAAUGCUUGAGUAUUUAUAUGUAAAAUCGAUGAUGAGGAUCUAAAUUUCAUCCGAAAUUAUCAAAAAAGGGUGGUGAUGAUGGGGUAAACCAUACCUGAACCCUAAUCGCUUAAGCUUUUACCUUUUUGUAUCCUUUACAUGUUUUCAGCAUGUACGGAUUGUUUGAAGCUAUGAUGGAUUUUCUGAGCUUCUUGGGGUUUAGGUCAUGGUGGUGACGGUAUGGCGACGGUGGUGGUUGUGAAAUAAUGUUGGUGUUGGGUGUACUGAUUUCGUGUUGUUGUUGAUGGUUGUUUUCUCUCUCUGUUGUUUGGGGUUUGAGAAAAACAAAAGUGUGGUGAUAUAUAGGUUUAAUUAUACAAUAUUACAAUAAAUAGAGGUUUUUUAAAGGGUGAAAAGAACGGUGGAAUGAUGGUGGUUAAGCGAUGGUAUGUGUGUUGAAGAUAGAGGUAGAAAAUGAGGUUUUUAAUUUUAAAAAUAAGAUGGUAAUUUAAGAUGAAAUUUAUGGGAAAUGAACAAAGUUAAUA